CUGCCCUACGGGACGCAGCAGUGGGGGAUAUUGCACAAUGGGGGAAACCCUGAUGCAGCGACGCCGCGUGAGUUAAGAAGUAUUUCGGUAUGUAAAGCUCUAUCAGCAGGGACGAAAAUGACGGUACCUGAGUAAGAAGCCCCGGCUAACUACGUGCCAGCAGCCGCGGUAAUACGUAGGGGGCAAGCGUUAUCCGGAUUUACUGGGUGUAAAGGGAGCGUAGACGGCAGCACAAGUCUGGAGUGAAUUGCCGGGGCUUAACCCCGGAACUGCUUUGGAAACUGUGCAGCUAGAGUGCAGGAGAG
rnacentral:rRNA from 1 species